rnacentral:tRNA from 1 species
CUCCUGGUGGCCAAGCUGGCUAAGGCGCGAGACUGUAAAUCUUGAGAUCGGGUGUUCGACUCACCCCCAGGAGA